rnacentral:lncRNA from 1 species
GGAAUACCAGAGGAUAGUGAAAGUCCUUGAGGCACUCUUUUCCCUUGAUCCAUGCUGAGAUUGGAUGCUUUCUCCAACCCUUGGGGCCCACAGAACUAAUGUCCCCACCAUCCACUCACCUAGACAUUGCAUCUCCGUGAUGUUCCUGAUCUACAGUGGACUUACCACCCCAUGUAUUCUGCUAUCCAUACUGUUGGAAGUUUCCCCCUCUCUACCCACCUCCAGGAUCCACAGCAAAGUAGCAGCCUGGUUUGGAGAUUAAUUCAUUCAAGCAUCUUUAACUUUUACAAGUCUCAUAAACAUCCAGCAGGAUUGACUAGACUGCACAAUCUCCUAAUCAACUAGAAACACUGAUAUUGGACAAAACCUAGAUGAUAUUGGUCUAAGUGGACUGGUGAGCUGACACCCCAUUCUUUCUCAGGCUUAGCUUUCCCCACUACCGCAUGCAGAUCCAGGCUGCUCUUAGAAACCAUAGCUCACUACUUUGCUGUCUUUCAGUGUUGACUUGGAUGGAUUCCAGGUUCUGACAUUGUUACUCACCAUUAAUAACUGUCAUCAUACCUCAGUAGAAAAGUAGUUGUUCAUGCAGCUUUCUUUUCUUAAGUAUUAGUAAGCAUCACCAUUGUUAUGAUAAAUCGACAGGCUUUAGUGUUCGGUCUGACCCAGGUUCACAUGCUGGCUACACCACUAAGCAUCCCUAUAACUUUGCUUUAUUUUGAAGGCUAUAAUUUGAUUACAACAUCUCUCCAUGUCUUUUCCUCCCUCCAAGCCCUUAUAUAAACUCCUUCCCUCCUGUCAUUCAAAUUCAUGGCCUCUUUUUCAUGAACUGUUAUUGCGUGUAUGUAUGUAUUUAUAUAUUCAAACAUAUACACAUACACACACAUAUAUUCCUAAAUAUAUAUAUGAAUACCUGUUGAGUCCAUAUGAUGUUACUUGUAUUCAUAUUUUAAGGGCUGUUGGGCACUGAACAACCAAUUGAUGGGGGAAGACCACCUCUCCCAUUCCCAGCUUUACUCAGUUACCUGUACUUUUUGGUGUAGUGUUGAGGCCUCAUGAGCAUGGCUUGGUAGCAACAAACAGCUCUCUAAUGAACUUAAGACCCACUCAACAAGAGGGGUACCAAGCAUAGAACUGAAAACCUAGGUAACUGCUCAGUGCUAGAGAAAUCACAGUUUUUGGAGGAGAAUAUACAACCAUUAAUUUACUAAACCAAUCCCUAACAACAGCC